GCCUUGAUGGCUCAGUUGGUUAGAGCGCAGGUCUCAUACGGCUGUAUGACCGGUACCGUCACCGGGCAAUCCUGAGGUCGCAAGUUCGAACCUUGCUCAGGGCA